ACAGCCUUUCAUUAAUUAUUUAGGGAAAAGCUCAGCUGUUUUAGAUGGCAGAAGAAUGCAAUGUAAGGCAGCACUACCUGCAGAACUUUGAAUUGAGACUGUGCGUCAUGGUAGGAAGAAGGGAAGCAGAAGAGGAUGAAAUAGGAAAAGAAAAACCCAUGCAUAUUUAAGUACAAGUCAUCAGAAGCAGAUUGUUGUAGAACUGCUUGUAUGAGGAUAAUCUCUGUGUUACAACAUCUUUCAAAAUAUGUUAAAAUCCCUGAAUCAGCCACGAGGCUCCUGGCAGAUAUUGGAGGAAUUUGGGAGCAUUUUGUGCAGAAGCUUGGUGUUGAUUUGGUAUGUGAUCCACAGUGUUGUGAGCAGAUCCUAAACCCCUUCAGUGUCCUCCUAAAUGGGAGUCCUGAAGAAGCAGAAAAACACCCGAACCCAGAAUCCCAAGUUAUCUCUGCUAACUGCAAGGAAUGAUCCAAACUUGCAGGGUGAAGAACUGCAGAGAAAGAUAUGCAUGGAUAACAGACUUAGAACAACUCCAGAAGAAAAAUGCUGCUCACAGAGUGCUGGCAUACAUUCAGAAAUCAGCCUUCUGUUUUGGAUACAGCCACAUUUCCUGCCCAUACCCACUCUCUCAGCACUGAUGCCAGCCAAAGCUCAUCCUCUGCUGAAGGACCUUCAGCUCAGCCUUCCCCAAAUAUAUUGGAAAGACAAUGUAUUAACAAAACAAAACAAAAAAGAAGCAGAAAAGGAGAGAGACAAGAGCACAGAGGAGGCCCGGAGGGAAAGAAAAAUAUUCAAAUAAUGGAGUAAGGGUGAGGCUGGCAAACUUUGUGGCAGUGAAACAACAGAUGGACUGUAGUUUUAGUGAUUCAUCACACAGAUGGUUCAGCAGAUGGAUUCUGUUGGGUUCAUACAGCUUAGGUGGAAAUAUCAGCUGCUGAUCUUGACAGGCAGGGCAGCUUCAGCAGAGGCAGUAUCCUUGCUUUGCCUUCCCUUGUACAUGUCCUGUUUUCCCAGACUGGCAGUGCAGGGACAAUGCUGAGUGCCACAGCAUUGGCCAGCCUUUGUGCUCCUUACAUGCCACAUAGUUCAAGAUUUUCUCUGUCUGUUCUAGGAAGGAAAAAGUUUGCUGUGAGUGGAUGUACCACCUCAUUUCUGCCACCCAGUCAAGUGACAAAUGCUGUUCCUUGGGAAACAAAAACAUCUACAGAUUGUGAUGAUUUCUAUCUAUAAAAAUUCUGUCAGCCUGGAUAGCAUUUCUGACAGAGUAUAACUUCUCCAAGGGAUGAAACAUCUUCCCAGUUUUACUGUGGGGGGUCUAGAUUCCCAAAUAACCUAUGACCAUUAAUGCAAUAAAGAGGAAUUAAAGCACA
rnacentral:lncRNA from 1 species